GUAGCUGGCCGACAAGUUACCGGGAAAUCACCCGCCCAACGGGUGGGCGUCGGUAAAACUGGCCGGCUUGGAACCGGAAGGCUCAGAGAGUACGUCCGGGGUAGGAGUGAAAUCCCGUAAUCCCGGACGGACUACCGAUGGCGAAAGCACUCUGAGAAGACGGCUUCGACAGUGAGGGACGAAAGCUCGGGUCUCAAACC
rnacentral:rRNA from 1 species